rnacentral:rRNA from 1 species
GACGAACGCUGGCGGCAUGCCUAAUACAUGCAAGUCGAGCGAACAGAUGAAGUGCUUGCACUUCUGACGUUAGCGGCGAACGGGUGAGUAACACGUAAGGAAUCUACCUAUAGGCGGGGGAUAACAUUCGGAAACGGGUGCUAAUACCGCAUAAUAUCUUCUUCCGCAUGGAAGAAGAUUGAAAGACGGCUCUGCUGUCACUUAUAGAUGACCUUGCGGUGCAUUAGUUAGUUGGUGGGGUAAUGGCCUACCAAGACGAUGAUGCAUAGCCGACCUGAGAGGAGGAUCGGCCACAUUGGGACUGAGACACGGCCCAAACUCCUACGGGAGGCAGCAGUAGGGAAUCUUCCGCAAUGGGCGAAAGCCUGACGGAGCAAUGCCGCGUGAGUGAAGAAGGCCUUCGGGUCGUAAAACUCUGUUAUAAGAGAAGAACAAAUUGUAGAGUAACUGCUACAGUCUUGACGGUAUCUUAUCAGAAAGCCACGGCUAACUACGAGCCAGCCGCCGCGGUAA